ACCAGAGGUACCGAGCUGUAGAGAGUGAGCACUUUCCGGAUCCAAAAGGCCUUCAAGCUCGUAUGGAACAAUGGACAUAUGGUCUUUAUCCUGCUUGCAUCAAAUAUCUCAUGUCUGCCUUCGAUAUCCUGGAGGUCAUGGCUGUAUCACGGAGAAACAUUUGCCAGGAGGGAAUGGAAUCAUUGUCGCGUGGCAGUGCUGCAAUAUAUUACGCUUCGGUGUUUGUCUAUUUCUGGGUCUUUUCCACCCCCGUUGUCUCUCUAGUUUUCGGAAGCUAUUUAUACAUUUGCGUUAACUGGUUUCAUUUACACUAUGACGAGGCCUUCUCCUCACUUCGAAUUGCUAACUACAAGGGGUUUACUCGAUUCCACAUAAACAAGAAAGGUGAUCUUGAAGUCUAUACGCUAGCAGUUGAUGAGGUUCCAGAGGAAUGGAAGCGGGAUCCUAAUUGGUGGAAGGAACAGAAACGGCCAGAGAGGAGAAGCCACCUUAGGAACUUUCCUAGUCAGUGGAGCUCCGCAGAUCCCUCAAAGGACCCAGUAAAAACUGUAAGAAUUGUAGACCGUUUUGUCAUACACCGGAACGGUGCAAGUCAUCAAGAAACUCCAGUCACCGAACCUGCUCAACCAGAACCAGAACCAGAGAAGCAAGAGGAAGUAGUGGCUAGGCCAUCUAACCCUGAGGAAGUACAAGAAGGAGAAGCUCUCGCAUCUGCGAGCAAGGCUCAAGCUCUCGAAGAUCCAGUCAUUGAAGAACCUGUUGAGCCCGAGAUUCAAAAGGAACCAGGCGCCGUUCCCUCAGUUGAACCAGAGGAAACCCUGCGGUCUGAGAAGGAAAAGGAAGAAGAAACCCGAAAGAAGAAGGGCAAAGGAAAGGUAAUCGAAGAAGAAACAGAGAGGUCUAAUGCUCUGCCUCCUGAGCGAGAAACAGAACCAAUCAGACAAAGUGACGAUGAGAGGCCUUGCGGUGAAGGAAAGAAAGAUGACCAUGAUGAGCACAUCGAUGCCGAGUUUGAGCAAACCAGUGGUUUGUCCCAGGUGCCUGAGACGAAGGCAAAAGCUGAGGGGGAGCCUAGUGAGAAGAAGGAAGCUGAAAAGGGUGAAUCUACCAACGGCCAGGUUAUGAGUGCGAUCCAGGAGCUGAAGGACGAAAUUAUCAAGGUAGAGAAAAUGAUUCGAUCCUUGUCCUGCUUCAACCUCGAUAACUUUUAUCUUGAUUCUUGUAAACCUUGAAGUCGACGCUUCCUUCUCAGCAGCAUAAGGAAAAAGAAGAUGAAAAAGAUUUGAAUAUUUUUAAAGUUUGAUGAGCGCUUGUUUCUUCCUGUUAUGAACUGUUUUCGUGUUUCUUU